UGGGGAAUAUUGGACAAUGGGGGGAACCCUGAUCCAGCCAUGCCGCGUGUGUGAAGAAGGCCUUUUGGUUGUAAAGCACUUUAGGCGGGGAGGAGGCUUUGAAGAUUAAUACCUUUCAAAGUGGACGUUACCCGCAGAAUAAGCACCGGCUAACUCUGUGCCAGCAGCCGCGGUAAUACAGAGGGUGCGAGCGUUAAUCGGAAUUACUGGGCGUAAAGCGCGCGUAGGCGGUUUAUUAAGUCGGAUGUGAAAUCCCUGAGCUUAACUUAGGAAUGGCAUUCGAUACUGGUAAGCUAGAGUAUGGGAGAGGAAGGUAGAAUUCCAGGUGUAGCGGUGAAAUGCGUAGAGAUCUGGAGGAAUACCGAUGGCGAAGGCAGCCUUCUGGCCUAAUACUGACGCU
rnacentral:rRNA from 1 species